ACACAUGAUAGGAUUUCAGCAAGUGAUUUAAUAGUGUAGAAUACUAAAAAAAAAAUCAUUUGCUGAACAAUACUGUGAUAACAUAUUAAGAAAUGAAAAAAAUGUUUCUUUUGAGAAAGGUGUUAACAGGUCUGAAAGUAGGGAUACCAUUUUUCUAAGAAAAGAGCAGAAACAGAAUUGAAAAACUACUAAAAUGCAAUUCUGAAGAGGAAUAUAUACUUUUGUAUUAAAAAUAGUUAAGUCUGCAGUAAACCCAGAGUGAUUAAAAAGUUAAAACAUAGUCACUCUCGGGUAAUUGAAAAUGAGAAAUAUUUAAAGCAAACCUUACAGUUUGCAUUAGCUAAGAAUUUGUGCUCCUGCUUUUAUCAGGGAAUUUAGAUCUUGAACACUAUUUUUAACAUUUUUGGUGCAAAUAAAAGCACUUUUUGAAAUCUCAUGUAGCUAUGGAAAAGUUCUGAAGAGCUGUAGCUCUUCCUUAUUUGCAUAAGAGUAUAGGUCACCCCAAUGCAGAAGGCGGGGGGAGUCCCAGGCAAGCUGACUGUUUCCCACAUGGAAAAACCAUGACAUCAUCAAAGCUGAGUGGAUGUAAAACAGGAAGUUAAAAAAUAAAAAUAUUUUUUUUAAGAAAAAAAUCAUGUUUCACAACGUUACAAUAAGCUCAGAAGAUAAACCCUAGCAGUAGGCUCUGCCUGUCCUUCUCUGGAACCAGCAACAUCCCUUCCUUUGAAACACCACAGAAGUUCUUUACUUUGGUUAUGCCUGAAGAUCUCCUUGAUCUACCUCCCUGCCACAGCUCUCAAGAACAGUCCUACAUUUCCCUGCUCUGAACAAAACUAGCCAAGUUUAAUUCCCCUAAAGCACCUUGCUUGUGCCUUGUGCCCAAUACGCUCUGUUCAGAGAUUCCCAAAUUCCCUGCAAUCAGACUCCACUUCCAGAACUUUCACUGACUGGAAGAAUGCAUAAGCUUCUCUUUGAACUUGACACGGUGACCCAAAAAUGAAAAUGAAACACACCAGCAUGUCAUAGCUCAGUAAAUCACUUGGGUUUCAUAUACGACUACCGACACCGGAGAUCUGUACUUCACAAUCCUUUUUCUAGAUACUACUCUUUCAGGGCUUGACCACAGCACACAGCUCAGUUCUUCUUCUUUCCUGAAUAUGCAUUUUAUCCUGCUAAUUCAGUUUGAAGCACACUUCAAGCCCACAAACAGGCCUGGCCCCGAGUUACAGCCCCAAACUGCCAUCUGAAAGGCCCAGACUCUGCAGCAAUUCACCUUAAGUCACAGACAUCAGCUGAGCACGCAUAUGGAACUGGCCUCACGGAAGCUGUAUCCAGCUAUGCAAGGACCGAGAGCCUUUACACCGUCUCCUUCAACCACUGCGAAUGAAACCUCGUGGGCAGAGAAACUAGACUUUUAAGUGCCCCAUAAUUCUCAGAUUAUAAGUGUUUUCUAAAAGGUGAGCCACAACAGUGGAAGCGCCAAUUUAAGCACUGUCAAGCAGAGGACCAGGUCAGAGAAGAAACAAUCGAGAACCUCAGGAAGCCUGCACAUCAACACUAGCUGACAGGAAGCAAGCACGAUAACAAGAAGAGAGGGAGAACUAGGAAGAGAGGAAAAAAAACCGAAACACAUUAAAAAAACUGAACAUUGAAUUUAUGAUAUCAUCCACGUAGAGAGCAUGUGAACUAGGAAGUAAAAAUCUUAGUGUACAGGCAGUCACAUGAGCUCCAACACUGAUACUCUGGUCUGAUGUUUGGGGCAGAGGGAGCUCUGAUCAAGUGCAGGCAGCAGCACAAAGAUCAUCCGUCAACAAGCAAUACAGAAGAUUUUGUUCAACUAGAACUACGCAGGGAACUUUAAAUGCUCAGCAAAUCAAGAGCCAGAACCACUACCAAGAGAGGACAUCUCCUGCUCACUUGUAUUGUAUGAGGCUGUUCUCCAACACAGACUUGAAGAGAAUGUGAAGACUGAGUCACCGGCCACAAAAACGAAAAUGCCUUGAAACAUCCAGAUCCAAUUACGGAUCACACUGUUCUUUCAUCUUAAAGCAACCAAUGAUUUGUUAAAAAAAGUGUACCAAAUACUGGAAACAAUUCAGAAAGAAUAUUUAGAGCUUCUUCCCAGCUUGAAAUUCAAGAUCCUGAUGAACUGAAGCUCACCGCCUUGUAUUAUCAGUAAAGGGAAAGCAGCCUGGAUACUGGUUUGUAAGAAAUAAAUAGGCUAAUAAUCUAAAGAUAUUCAUAAAAAUUAAUGGAUUCCAUGACUUCAAACAGUCGUGAAUGCCUUAAAUGAAAUAGAAACACAGCGUUAUGUCAAAGAAAAUGAUUUGAUACAUGCAUAUUACAGACAUGAAAUAAAUAAGUAUUUGCAAAGCA